GAGAGGAAUUUUCCGCAAUGGGCGAAAGCCUGACGGAGCAAUGCCGCGUGAAGGAUGAAGGCCUAUGGGUUGUAAACUUCUUUUCUCAGAAAAGAAUUAUGACGGUAUCUGAGGAAUAAGCAUCGGCUAACUCUGUGCCAGCAGCCGCGGUAAGACAGAGGAUGCAAGCGUUAUCCGGAAUGAUUGGGCGUAAAGCGUCUGUAGGUUGUUUAAAAAGUAUUCUGUCAAAGAUUAGGGCUUAACCCUAGAUAGGCAGAAUAAACUUUUAAGCUAGAGUUUGGUAGAGGCAGAGGGAAUUCCCGGUGGAGCGGUGAAAUGCGUAGAUAUCGGGAGGAACACCAAAGGCGAAGGCACUCUGCUGGGCCAAUACUAACACUGAGAGACGAAAGCGAGGGGAGCAAAUGGGAUUAGAAACCCCAGUAGUCC
rnacentral:rRNA from 1 species